GUGAGGAAUAUUGCGCAAUGGAGGCAACUCUGACGCAGCCAUGCCGCGUGCAGGAAGAAGGCGCUACGCGUUGUAAACUGCUUUUAACCGGGAAGAAACCCCAGGACGUGUCCUGGGUUGACGGUACCGGAGGAAUAAGCACCGGCUAACUUCGUGCCAGCAGCCGCGGUAAUACGAAGGGUGCAAGCGUUAUCCGGAUUCAUUGGGUUUAAAGGGUGCGUAGGCGGAGCGUUAAGUCAGUGGUGAAAUCCUGCAGCUUAACUGUAGACUUGCCAUUGAUACUGGCGCUCUUGCGUGCGCUUGAAGUGGGCGGAAUGUGCCGUGUAGCGGUGAAAUGCUUAGAUAUGGCACAGAACACCAAUUGCGAAGGCAGCUCACUAAGGCGAUACUGACGCUGAGGCACGAAAGCGUGGGGAUCGAACAGGAUUAGAAACCCGGGUAGUCC
rnacentral:rRNA from 1 species